GGUUUCAUACAACAACAGUCGGGUUCUCACUCAUCAUUAAAGGGUCCCCAUAAGGUUUUUUCUCCUAUGCAUGGAGGAUUGGAGCAAGGGGACCCUUGAUUGCCUUUCUUAUUCAUUAUUGUUCAAGGAAGGAUAAGGCGCAAUGGUAAAGGCAAAACACUUGAACUGGAUUAGUGGAUUUUAAACAGCCAUCAGGCCUCAGGCAACUCCCUCAAUCAUUGACAUCAAGAAAACGAGACCAUUU
rnacentral:lncRNA from 1 species